GGCGUAUAAAGUAAUUAAUUCAAUAAUUCACAUUAUAAUUGUUUAACAGUCCUGUUAAAAUGUAUUGCUCCCUGUAGUUUCUCUUAAAAUGACUAUAUUUGCAAAAGAGUAAAGCUAAACUACUUCUUACAGUGUAUAAGCAGCUUCUUCAACAGCGAUUCUGCAUAUCGUGACCUGGAUGUUACAGCUGCAGUCGACUAUGUAAAGUGUGUGUUGUCAUGUCAAUGUUUCUGUCAGGCGUUGUGAUUCCAGGACGACUUCCUGUAAACACACUGAGAGAUUUGUGUGCUUUGAGGUUCAGCUUGAUUCAACAUCAUUUCCCACUGCUUUAGGACUUUGUUGCUGCUGGGAACGGAGCGGUAGGGGAGAGAGACAUAGAGAGAGAGACGGAGAGAGAGACAGACGGAGGAAAAAGGGCUUCCCACUAACAUGUACAUCAAAAGCCUUUUGGUUCUCUCUAUCGCUUUAUUUUUAUUUGGUGUCAGCACUUCACAGUGAGCGCGGUAUGGAAAUGCGUUUGGCUGCCUGGAAAGCUGUCAGGAAACACACACAACUCAGUUGCACGGAGUUGCUAACAUCAAAGAAGUCGUGUAAGGGCCGCGGAGAGCACACGGGCGACGGAGAACCAGACAUCCUGAAAGGACAUUUCUGGAUUUCUGGAUUCCUUUGUGUUCAUGGAGUGAGGAGGGACACGAGCAGCAGGUGUGUAGGUGGGACGAGACAAACAUUUAUAACCUGAGCAUCUCUCCGAGGAACCCUUCCUCUCUUCUCGGGCUUCUCUUUCCUUCUGUCUGAAUCAUAAAGAUCUGGCCGGACGAUCAGACAGUCUCUUCAUGAGGUUAUAAAGUCUUGUUAUCCUGAGGCUGAACUGUCACCACUGUUGUUGUGGUGAUGGUGGUGGCAGCGGUGGCCGUUUUUUCUGCAGAUCUUAUUGGCUGCUCAUAGGGGCCCAUAAAGAUGAGUUCUGAAGACCCAUAAAGAUGCGUUUCAUCUCCAUAGCUGGCUUACGGGCUGAUAGACAGAUAAAUAAAGAGAGACAGAGAGAGAGAGAGAGAGAGAGAGAGAGAGAGAGAUCCCCAGGCCACCUUCACUUUAAUGUUGGUCUGAAGGGAGGGAGGCAGCCAUCAUAUCUCUGAUCAGAAAAGGAAAUGAUCAAGAAGGCAUUAGCUUAACCAUUUGUCCACAGAGAAUAAAUGUUCUACUAAACCAUUUUUAAAAAUCAAUUAUACAUUGAUUAUGCAAUAUCUGAUUCAUAAAAAUCCAUUAUAUUCAGGCUAAGUCAAGCAUCACUCAUACUUAGGAUUUAGGAGUUUGUUCAAAUGACUUAAUUUAGUGCAUAAUUCAUUAUGUAAUAUUUUAACAACCACUAACAACAGUCUAGCAUUGUGGAAGUAAGUUUUGCAUGAAGUUCAGACAAAACUGCUUUAAAUCUAAUUCUAGAUUGCAAUGAUAAACUAAUAGAAUGUAAUUUAAGAUAAUAUUACAAAUAAUAUGUAAAACAACAUAGACAAGUUUAUUAUAUUAUAUUAUAUUAUAUUAUAUUAUAUUAUAUUAUAUUAUAUUAUAUUAUAUUAUAUUAUAUUAUAUUAUAUUAUAUUAUAUUAUAUUAUAUUAUAUUAUUUACACAUUGGACGCAUAUUUUUUUCUUUGUCCUUUUAUGCCAAUAUUGCAGCCUACAUAAUUGGGUAAUUUCUUCAUGAUUGUAUUAAUUAUUAGCAAAUAUUUAUUUACUAAGCAAUUAUAUUAUAUUAUAUUAUAUUAUAUUAUAUUAUAUUAUAUUAUAUUAUAUUAUAUACACAUUGUACAAAAUUAUUUUUUCUUUAGGCUAAUAUUGCAGCCUUCAUAACUGGGAAUUUAAAUCUAAGAUUGCAAUUGUGAAAUAGUACUAUAUAAAAUAUAUUGUAUUAUAUUAUAUUAUACAUGCAGAACAAAAUAUAUAUUUUGCACAAAACAAUUUUUAUGCUAACAUUCCAGCCUUUACAAUUGAGUCUUUUUAUCAUGAAUUUAAAUUCUAUUUUAGAUCACAAAUAAUUUUUUAUAAUAAAAUAAUGCUAUACAAUAUAGAAUAGAUAAUAUAAAAAUGAAAAAAAAAAAAAUUACAUUAUAUAGUCGUGCAAUUGCAAAUUACACAAAAUGAUUAUCCUAAUGCUAAUAUUGCAGCUUUCAUAGUUGUGUACAUUCAUCAUUCAUUUAAAUCUAAUUCAAUAAUACAAUAAUGUUUAUAACUAAUAUCAUAAAAAUUUAUAUAAUUAUUUAAGUCUAAUACUGAUCUACAUUGCACAAAACAUUUUAGCCUUCAUAAUCGUGCACUUUCAUCAUUAAAUUAAAUUGCACUCAAAAGGUCACCAAACCAAGGGAAUUUUCCUAAUCUUGCAGCACUCGAAAUCCUAAUUUCAAGUCUGUUUCCAGCUCUGGCUGACGGACAGCUGCAGACAGCCAGGAAGCGAGGAAGAACCAGCAGCGAUUUGGGGAAAUCUUCAAUAAAACAGCGUAACUAACAGGCCGCACAUUGAGUGCUUGAUAAGAGGGACAGAGCGGCUCCCCGAACACACUGCUGGCACGGCCAGACUCUGUUAGCACCCAAAGAAAUAAAUAAACAAAUCAAGUCGCCAUCCUCAGUAAUCCCCUAAAUUCAGGCUUAUUCAUGUUAAAUCUGGAAGAGAAAAGCCCGACCCCGUUCUGUUUGAACCCUCCCCCUCUCGUCAGUUCCAGUGUCAGCAGUUGUUGUUUUGCGACCGGACAUCUUAUGGCACACACAGAUAUGCUGGGACAUGGACAGCUUGUCCCGCUAAAGCCUGUUUUGUCUUGUUCCACUCUUCCUCGUCCUCCAGUUUUGCGGCGUGUCAGAGCCAGCUGGCUUGAGCAGAAAGAAGAGGAGAAAUAAGCUCCUUAUUGCAGAGUCGUGGUAUUUGCUUUCCGCCAGGGUUGAGGGUUCUCAUUAUACCAUGUUCAUGAGGCUACGAGUGCUAAUUGGUCUUCCGCUGAACACAGAAAGAACUCACGAAAAAUGUGACCGCAGGCGAUAUAACCUAAUUAGGAAAUUUGCCACUGUACGGCGGCCAGAUCGGGCCUCGCUAUUGUUCUGCGCAGAUAAACAGGCGCGUUUUUCACUUUGCUUUGGAAGACGCCGCUUUAUC
ensembl:lncRNA